CCUACGGGGGGCUGCAGUAGGGAAUCUUCCACAAUGGGUGAAAGCCUGAUGGAGCAACGCCGCGUGGGUGAAGAAGGUCUUCGGAUCGUAAAACCCUGUUGUUAGAGAAGAAAGUGCGUGAGAGUAACUGUUCACGUUUCGACGGUAUCUAACCAGAAAGCCACGGCUAACUACGUGCCAGCAGCCGCGGGAAUACGUAGGUGGCAAGCGUUAUCCGGAUUUAUUGGGCGUAAAGGGAACGCAGGCGGUCUUUUAAGUCUGAUGUGAAAGCCUUCGGCUUAACCGGAGUAGUGCAUUGGAUACUGGGAGACGUGAGUGCAGAAGAGGAGAGUGGAACGCAAUGUGUAGCGGUGAAAUGCGUAGAUAUAUGGAAGAACACCAGUGGCGAAAGCGGCUCUCUGGUCUGUAACUGACGCUGAGGUUCGAAAGCGUGGGUAGCAAACAGGAUUAGAUACCCUAGUAGUC
rnacentral:rRNA from 1 species